UAUGAGUGCCGCCGCCGUGACUAAGGACAGACUUCAGGAUAAAUUAAAAGCCGAGUUUUCACCCUGCUUCCUUGAGGUUACGGACACCAGCAAUAUAUGUGGUUUAAACUUUGAAGUGACUAUCGUGUCGGAUAAAUUUAAAGGAUUAUCCCUUAUAAAUCGUCACCGUUUAGUACACGCUGCCAUCUCUCAAGAGCUAAAGUUCAUUCAUGCUUUUGUGCAGGUUAUUUUUAAGACAUA